AUGUCUAUUAGAGAGGCCACAUACAGGGUUAGCAGAAGACACUAACUCUGUAGCCUUUCCUUCCACACUUAGGAGAAGGGCACCUGACUGUGGCACUGAAUGAAGACCUCAGGAGCCACACCUGUACAAGGCUAGCUCCAUCAUUAUCAUCUGCUUCCUCAGUAGCCAAGCCUGGUGCUGCUACAAGUUCAAGUCAACCAGGAUCUAUUAGCUAGCUGAUGCUGGUUGGAACAUAGAGGAAGGCCUGAAGGCUAAAUAUUCAGAGACGUGCGUUGGAUGGGUACGAGGAAAAAAGAAGCACAUCUGAACACAAAGGAAGAAAGAAGCUGUCUCCACAGAGAAGAGGGCCGGGGACAUCUAGGAAGCACAAUCGAGGAUAAAGUGGCAUCACAUAGGAGAGAAUGAUGGAAACAAAAACUACAUC